GCGCGUUGCUUCCGNAUAUCACCAAACCCCGGCACGAAAAGUGUCAAGGAACAAGCAAACGAACGGCCGGUAUUCGCCUCCCCGGAGACGGUGUGUGCGCGGAUGCUGAGCUGCGAUCUAAAGUCUAAAACGACUCUCGGCAACGGAUAUCUCGGCUCUCGCAUCGAUGAAGAACGUAGCGAAAUGCGAUACUUGGUGUGAAUUGCAGAAUCCCGUGAACCAUCGAGUCUUUGAACGCAAGUUGCGCCCCAAGCCUUCUGGCCGAGGGCACGUCUGCCUGGGUGUCACAAAUCGUCGUCCCCCACUCAUCCUUUAAGGAUUCGGGACGGAAGCUGGUCUCCCGUGUGUUACCGCACGCGGUUGGCCAAAAUCCGAGCCAAGGACGCAGGGAGCGUCCCGACAUGCGGUGGUGAACUCGAUCCACUUUCCUAUCGUCGGCCGCUCCUGUCCGGAAGCUCUAGAUGACACAAAGUCCUCAAAGCGAC
rnacentral:rRNA from 1 species